AGCGGCGAAAGGGAGAGGAAUAAAUGGGAACCUACCUUGGGGCCUGGGAUAGCGGCGGGAAACUGCCGGUAAUACCAGAUGAUGUCUCCGGACCAAAGGUUUACUGCCUUGAGACGGGCCCAUUUCCUAUCAGCUAGUUGGUGAGGUAAUGGCUCACCAAGGCUAAGACGGGUACGGGGUGUGAGAGCAUGCCCCCGCUCACUGGGACUGAGACACUGCCCAGACACCUACGGGUGGCUGCAGUCGAGAAUCUUCGGCAAUGGGCGAAAGCCUGACCGAGCGAUGCCGCGUGCGGGAUGAAGGCCUUCGGGUUGUAAACCGCUGUCGAGGGGAAUUAAGGGAAACUUGAAUGAACCCUGGAGGAAGGACGGGCUAAGUUCGUGCCAGCAGCCGCGGUAAGACGAACCGUCCAAACGUUAUUCGGAAUCACUGGGCUUACAGAGUUCGUAGGCGGUCUAGCAAGUUGGGUGUGAAAUCCCUCGGCUCAACCGAGGAACUGCGCUCGAUACCGCUAGACUCGAGGGAGAUAGAGGAAAGCGGAACUGAUGGUGGAGCGGUGAAAUGCGUUGAUAUCAUCAGGAACACCGGUGGCGAAGGCGGCUUUCUGGGUCUCUCCUGACGCUGAGGAACGAAAGCUAGGGGAGCGAACGGGAUUAGAUACCCCGGUAGUCCUAGCCGUAAACGAUGAGCACUAGGUCGAGGGG
rnacentral:rRNA from 1 species